rnacentral:rRNA from 1 species
UACGUAGGCAGCGAGCGUUGUUCGGAGUUACUGGGCGUAAAGGGUGUGUAGGCGGUUGUUUAAGUUUGGUGUGAAAUCUCCCGGCUCAACUGGGAGGGUGCGCCGAAUACUGAAUGACUUCGAGUGCGGGAGAGGAGAGUGGAAUUCCUGGUGUAGCGGUGAAAUGCGUAGAUAUCAGGAGGAACACCGGUGGUGUAGACGGCUCUCUGGACCGUAACUGACGCUGAGACGCGAAAGCCAGGGGAGCAAACGGG